rnacentral:tRNA from 1 species
UGUUGGAUAGCUCCGUCAGUAGAGCAACAGACUCUUAAUCUCAGGGUUAUGGGUUCAAGCCCCAUGUUUGGCAA